rnacentral:rRNA from 1 species
CCUACGGGUGGCAGCAGUGGGGAAUAUUGCGCAAUGGGCGAAAGCCUGACGCAGCGACGCCGCGUGAGGGAUGAAGGUCUUCUGAUCGUAAACCUCUGUCAGUAGGGAAGUACGGUCACUGUGCUAAUCAGCAUUGUAUUGACGGUAUCUGCAAAGGAAGCACCGGCUAACUCCGUGCCAGCAGCCGCGGUAAUACGGAGGGUGCGAGCGUUAAUCGGAAUUACUGGGCGUAAAGCUCUCGUAGGCGGUAUGUCAAGUCAAGGGUGAAAUCCCCGGGCUCAACGUGGGAACUGCCGUUGAAACUGGCAGACUGGAGUGUGGGAGAGGAUAGUGGAAUUCCAGGUGUAGGGGUGAAAUCCGUAGAUAUCUGGAGGAACAUCAGUGGCGAAGGCGACUAUCUGGAACAUAACUGACACUGAGGAGCGAAAGCGUGGGUAGCAAACAGGAUUAGAUACCCUGGUAGUC